rnacentral:lncRNA from 1 species
AUAAAGCUCGUCUGGCGAGGCCAAGCGUGUGACAGGAGCUGCCCGAUCAUCUCGAGAAACAACGUAGUUUGUCAACGCUUGUGCAGCCUGCACCAACAUUGUGGCACACAGCCUUUUAUUUGGCAGCAACUGGACAAGAUCGGCUGUGGCAGCAGCGCGAGAUCAAAAACCAAUAGAGACAGUAAAAAUACGCGCAUAAGUGCAGUUGGCGUGUGUAUUAUUACCCUUAACAGAAAAUCAUCAGCUUCUGCGUCAGCUAUGCCCGUAUCCGGUGCUGCAGGUGUGGUCGUCGGCAUGAGUCACUGAUAGUGGUCGUAGGUGACCUUCUAAAAUCAACGGGAGCAAGAAGGCAGAGAGCUUGACAUACCACCGUUUUCAAGACUUU